rnacentral:rRNA from 1 species
UAGGGAAUCUUCCACAAUGGACGCAAGUCUGAUGGAGCAACGCCGCGUGAGUGAAGAAGGUUUUCGGAUCGUAAAGCUCUGUUGUUGGUGAAGAAGGAUAGAGGUAUUAACUGGCCUUUAUUUGACGGUAAUCAACCAGAAAGUCACGGCUAACUACGUGCCAGCAGCCGCGGUAAUACGUAGGUGGCAAGCGUUGUCCGGAUUUAUUGGGAGUAAAGCGAGCGCAGGCGGAAGAAUAAGUCUGAUGUGAAAGCCCUCGGCUUAACCGAGGAACUGCAUCGGAAACUGUUUUUCUUGAGUGCAGAAGAGGAGAGUGGAACUCCAUGUGUAGCGGUGGAAUGCGUAGAUAUAUGGAAGAACACCAGUGGCGAAGGCGACUCUCUGGUCUGCAACUGACGCUGAGGCUCGAAAGCAUGGGUAGCGAACAGG